ensembl:miRNA Mir488 microRNA 488
UUCGGGUGAGAGUGAGAAUCCUCUCUCCCAGAUAAUAGCACUCUCAAACAAGUUUCCAUGUUGUUUGAAAGGCUGUUUCUUGGUCAGAAGACUCUCAAUUUCUUCUGGA